CACGUAGGGGGCAAGCGUUGUCCGGAUUUAUUGGGCGUAAAGAGCUCGUAGGUGGUUCGGUAAGUCAGGUGUGAAACCUCCAGGCUCAACCUGGAGACGCCACUUGAUACUGCUGUGACUGGAGUCCGGUAGGGGAGCGUGGAAUUCCUGGUGUAGCGGUGAAAUGCGCAGAUAUCAGGAGGAACACCAGUGGCGAAGGCGGUGCUCUGGGCUGGAACUGACACUGAGGAGCGAAAGCGUGGGUAGCAAACAGG
rnacentral:rRNA from 1 species